UACGAAGGGGGCUAGCGUUGCUCGGAUUGACUGGGCGUAAAGGGCGCGUAGGCGGUUCGUACAGUCAGACGUGAAAUUCCUGGGCUCAACCUGGGGGCUGCGUUUGAUACGUGCGGACUUGAGUGCGGAAGAGGGUCGUGGAAUUCCCAGUGUAGAGGUGAAAUUCGUAGAUAUCAGGAGGAACACCUGUGGUGUAGACAGCUUGCUGGACCAUAACUGACGCUGAGGCACGAAAGCGUGGGUAGCAAACAGG
rnacentral:rRNA from 1 species